rnacentral:rRNA from 1 species
UACGUAGGUGGCAAGCGUUGUCCGGAAUUAUUGGGCGUAAAGCGCGCGCAGGCGGCCUCUUAAGUCUGAUGUGAAAGCCCCCCGGCUCAACCGGGGGGGCAGCUUGGAAACUGGGAGGCUUGAGUAUAGGAGAGAAGAGUGGAAUUCCACGUGUAGCGGUGAAAUGCGUAGAGAUGUGGAGGAACACCAGUGGCGAAGGCGACUCUUUGGCCUAUAACUGACGCUGAGGCGCGAAAGCGUGGGGAGCAAACAGG